GCCCAGGUGGCGGAAUUGGUAGACGCGCUGGCUUCAGGUGCCAGUAACCGUUAGGUUGUGGAAGUUCGAGUCUUCUCCUGGGCACCA
rnacentral:tRNA from 1 species